rnacentral:misc_RNA from 1 species
CAAAAUUUGACCCGAGGAGAAACACCAGCCUCCAACACUAUUGAUUCUUAUUUUGAACCUGGUGGCUGGUGUUGCUGGGAAACCAACGAAUUAAAAUUGAAAAGAGAAAAAGGAAAUUGAUUUAUUUUUUAAUUUCCUUUUCACGAGCGUAAUCACAUAUCUACACUAGCUGAACAAAGUAAGAGAACGCAAAGCUCUGAUCUUCUCUUUUUUCAAGGCAGCCCUAUGGCGGAGACGGAGAAGCAGCUGGUCGUGGCCGUUGAAGGUUCCGCGGCAAUGGGCCCUUUCUGGCAGACCAUCUUUUCUGAUUACCUUGAAAAGAUCAUCAGGUCUUUUUGUGGUGGUGACUUGACUGGGCAGAAACCUUCACCUUCUAAUAUCGAGCUCUCACUGGUCACAUUUAAUUCUCAUGGAUCUUAUUCUGCUUGCUUAGUGCAACGGACUGGCUGGACAAGAGAUGUUGACAUCUUUUUACAAUGGUUAGCGGCCAUUCCUUUUGCUGGAGGUGGCUUCAAUGACGCUGCAAUUGCAGAAGGUCUUUCUGAAGCUUUAAUGAUGUUCCCUUAUGCUCCAAAUGGAAGCCAAUCUCAACAAAAUAUAGAUGGACAAAGGCAUUGUGUUCUUAUUGCAGCGAGUAACCCUUAUCCCUUGCCAACGCCAGUCUAUCGACCACAAAUACAAAAUUU